GGCGGCAGGCCUAACACUGCAAGUCGAGCGGUAGCACAGNANAGCUUGCUCUCGGGUGACGAGCGGCGGACGGGUGAGUAAUGUCUGGGAAACUGCCUGAUGGAGGGGGAUAACUACUGGAAACGGUAGCUAAUACCGCAUAAUGUCGCAAGACCAAAGUGGGGGACCUUCGGGCCUCAUGCCAUCAGAUGUGCCCAGAUGGGAUUAGCUAGUAGGUGGGGUAACGGCUCACCUAGGCGACGAUCCCUAGCUGGUCUGAGAGGAUGACCAGCCACACUGGAACUGAGACACGGUCCAGACUCCUACGGGAGGCAGCAGUGGGGAAUAUUGCACAAUGGGCGCAAGCCUGAUGCAGCCAUGCCGCGUGUGUGAAGAAGGCCUUCGGGUUGUAAAGCACUUUCAGCGGGGAGGAAGGCGAUAAGGUUAAUAACCUUGCGAUUGACGUUACCCGCAGAAGAAGCACCGGCUAACUCCGUGCCAGCAGCCCGCGGUAAUACGAGGGUGCAAGCGUUAAUCGGAAUUACUGGGCGUAAAGCGCACGCAGGCGGUCUGUCAAGUCGGAUGUGAAAUCCCCGGGCUCAACCUGGGAACUGCAUUCGAAACUGGCAGGCUAGAGUCUUGUAGAGGGGGGUAGAAUUCCAGGUGUAGCGGUGAAAUGCGUAGAGAUCUGGAGGAANACCGGUGGCGAAGGCGGCCCCCUGGACAAAGACUGACGCUCAGGUGCGAAAGCGGGGGAGCAAAC
rnacentral:rRNA from 1 species